rnacentral:rRNA from 1 species
GUUGGGAGCUCUCCAUAUGGUCGACCUGCAGGCGGCCGCGAAUUCACUAGUGAUUAGAGUUUGAUCAUGGCUCAGAAUCAACGCUGGCGGCGUGCCUAACACAUGCAAGUCGAACGCGAAUGUCCCGCAAGGGACUAGUAGAGUGGCAAACGGGUGAGUAACACGUGGGUGACCUGCCUUCGAGUGGGGGAUAACGUCCCGAAAGGGACGCUAAUACCGCAUUACAUCCUGCCCUUGAACGGGUGGAGAUCAAAGCUGGGGAUCGCAAGACCUAGCGCUUGAAGAGGGGCCCGCGUCUGAUUAGCUAGUUGGUGAGGUAACGGCUCACCAAGGCGACGAUCAGUAUCCGGCCUGAGAGGGCGGACGGACACACUGGGACUGAGACACGGCCCAGACUCCUACGGGAGGCAGCAGUGGGGAAUUGUUCGCAAUGGGCGCAAGCCUGACGACGCAACGCCGCGUGGAGGAUGAAGACCUUCGGGUCGUAAACUCCUUUCGAUCGAGACGAACGGCUUCCGGGUGAACAAUCCGGAAGAUUGACGGUACCGAGAGAAGAAGCCCCGGCUAACUCCGUGCCAGCAGCCGCGGUAAUACGAAUCGAAUUCCCGCGGCCGUCAUGGCGGCCGG